rnacentral:rRNA from 1 species
UACGGAGGGUGCGAGCGUUGUCCGGAAUCACUGGGCGUAAAGGGCGCGUAGGCGGCCUGAUAAGUAGGGGGUGAAAUCCUGCGGCUUAACCGCAGGGCUGCCUUCUAAACUGUCUGGCUCGAGUCCGGGAGGGGCGAGUGGAAUUCCUGGUGUAGCGGUGAAAUGACGCAGAUAUCAGGAGGAACACCAAUGGCGAAGGCAGCUCGCUGGAACGGUACUGACGCUGAGGCGCGAAAGCGUGGGGAGCGAACAGG